GAUGAACGCUGGCGGCGUGCCUAAUACAUGCAAGUCGAGCGAACGGACGAGGAGCUUGCUUCUCUGAUGUUAGCGGCGGACGGGUGAGUAACACGUGUAUAACCUACCUAUAAUACUGGUAUAACUUCGGGAAACCGGAGCUAAUACCGUAUAAGAUUUUGAACCGCAUGGUUCAAAAGUGAAAGACGGUCUUGCGGGCACUUAUAGAUGGAUCCCGGCUGCAUUGGCUAGUUGGUAAGGUAACGGCUUACCAAGGCAACGAUGCAUAGCCGACCUGAGAGGGUGAUAGGCGACACUGGAACGGGAACGGCGUCAAGUGUCCUACGGGAGGGCGCAGUAGGCAAUCGUACGCAAUGGGCGAAAGUCUGACGGAGCAGCGGCGAGUGAGUGAUGGCGGUCUUCGGAUCGUAAAACUCUGCUAUUAGGGAAGAACAUAUGUCUAAGUUACUGUGCACAUCUUGACGGUAACUAAUCAGAAAGCCACGGCUAACUACGUG
rnacentral:rRNA from 1 species